GAGUUUGAUCCUGGCUCAGGACGAACGCUGGCGGCGUGCUUAACACAUGCAAGUCGAACGAGAAUCUACGGAUCGAGGAUUCGUCCAAGUGAAGUAGAGGACAGUGGCGGACGGGUGAGUAACGCGUGAGGAACCUGCCUUUCAGAGGGGGACAACAGUUGGAAACGACUGCUAAUACCGCAUGACACAUUGGGGUCGCAUGGCUCUGAUGUCAAAGAUUUAUCGCUGAAAGAUGGCCUCGCGUCUGAUUAGCUAGUUGGUGAGGUAACGGCCCACCAAGGCGACGAUCAGUAGCCGGACUGAGAGGUUGACCGGCCACAUUGGGACUGAGAUACGGCCCAGACUCCUACGGGAGGCAGCAGUGGGGAAUAUUGCACAAUGGGGGAAACCCUGAUGCAGCGACGCCGCGUGGAGGAAGAAGGUCUUCGGAUUGUAAACUCCUGUUGUUGAGGAAGAUAAUGACGGUACUCAACAAGGAAGUGACGGCUAACUACGUGCCAGCCGCCGCGGUAAUAC
rnacentral:rRNA from 1 species